AUAAUGAUAUCUGGUUCAUAAAAUUGAUGUUUUCAUAUAAUUUGUUUUUUUAUAACAAAAUGAUCCGGGAUUUAAAAUCCCUCGGCGGCAACGCUGUGCGGGUUCAAGUCCCGCUCUGGGCACCA
rnacentral:tRNA from 1 species